rnacentral:rRNA from 1 species
AUUGAACGCUGGCGGCAGGCUUAACACAUGCAAGUCGAACGAGUGGCGGACGGGUGAGUAAUGCUUGGGAAUCUAGCUUAUGGAGGGGGAUAACUACGGGAAACUGUAGCUAAUACCGCGUAACAUAGGAUGAGCCCCAGUGGGAUUAGGUAGUUGGUGAGGUAAAGGCUCACCAAGCCGACGAUCUCUAGCUGGUCUGCGAGGAUGACCAGCCACACUGGGACUUAGACACGGCCCAGACUCCUACGGGAGGCAGCAGGGGGGAAUUGUGGACAAUGGGCGCAAGCCUGAUCCAGCCAUGCCGCGUGUCUGAAGAAGGCCGUCGGGUUGUAAAGCACUUGCAGCGGGGAGGCGUUACCCGCAGAAGAAGCACCGGCUAACUCCGUGCCAGCAGCCGCGGUGAUUC